rnacentral:rRNA from 1 species
AACGAACGCUGGCGGCGUGCCUAAUACAUGCAAGUUGAGCGCUGAAGGUUGGUACUUGUACCAACUGGAUGAGCAGCGAACGGGUGGGUAACGCGUGGGGAAUCUGCCUUUGAGCGGGGGACAACAUUUGGAAACGAAUGCUAAUACCGCAUAAAAACUUUAAACACAAGUUUUAAGUUUGAAAGAUGCAAUUGCAUCACUCAAAGAUGAUCCCGCGUUGUAUUAGCUAGUUGGUGAGGUAAAGGCUCACCAAGGCGAUGAUACAUAGCCGACCUGAGAGGGUGAUCGGCCACAUUGGGACUGAGACACGGCCCAAACUCCUACGGGAGGCAGCAGUAGGGAAUCUUCGGCAAUGGACGAAAGUCUGACCGAGCAACGCCGCGUGAGUGAAGAAGGUUUUCGGAUCGUAAAACUCUGUUGGUAGAGAAGAACGUUGGUGAGAGUGGAAAGCUCGUCAAGUGACGGUAACUACCCAGAAAGGGACGGCUAACUACGUG